rnacentral:rRNA from 1 species
UCAAGCUAAAAAGGGCGCAAGGUGAAUGCCUUGGCACUGGGAGCCGAUGAAAGACGUGGUAAGCUGCGAAAAGCUUCGGGGAGGAGCAAACAUCCAUUGAUCCGGAGAUAUCUGAAUGGGGCAACCCAAUGGAGUUCAUACUCCAUUAUCCAAUACUGAAUCCAUAGGUAUUGGAAGGGAACCGCCUGAACUGAAACAUCUAAGUAGGGCGAGGAAGAGACAUCAAACGAGAUUCCGUAAGUAGUGGCGAGCGAACGCGGAAGAGGGCAAACCGAGAGGAGAAAUCCUUUCGGGGUACGGACUGCUUUAAGGACUGGAAGAGUUAACAGAAUGGCAUGGGAAGGCCAACCGAAGAGUGUGAGAGUCACGUAAGUAAAAAUUCUGACAGCUGCGCAGGAUCCAGAGUACGGCCAGACACGUGAAACCUGGUCGGAAUAUGGGGGGACCACCCUCCAACCCUAAAUACUACCCAGUGACCGAUAGCGUAUAGUACUGUGAAGGAAAGGUGAAAAGCACCCCGGGAGGGGAGUGAAAAAGAACCUGAAACCCUGUGCCUACAAGCACCUAGAGCACGUCAAUGUGUGAUAGGGUACUUUUUGUAGAACGGUCCGGCGAGCGAUUGUAUGCAGCAAGGUUAAGGACUUAAGGUCUGGAGCCGAAGCGAAAGCGAGUUUGAAAAGGGCGUUAAGUUGCAUACAAUGGGCCCGAAACCGGGUGACCUACCCAUGGUCAGGUUGAAGUGGAAGUAAAAUUCCAUGGAGGACCGAACCGACCUCCGUUGAAAAGGCGGCGGAUGAACUGUGGGUAGCGGAGAAAUUCCAAUCGAACCCGGAGAUAGCUGGUUCUCCCCGAAAUAGUUUUAGGACUAGCCUCAAGUUAGAUACCUGGAGGUAAAGCACUGAAUAGCCUAGCGGCCGAGAGGUUAGCGAAGCUUAUCAAACUCAGAAUGCCAGAGUAUUGAUGCUUGGGAGUCAGACAGUGUCAGAUAAAUGUCAUUGUCAAAAGGGAAACAGCCCAGAUCUACAGCUAAGGUCCCAAAGUCAGGUUAAGUGGAAAACGAUGUGAAGAUACGUAGACAACCAGGAUGUUGGCUCAGAAGCAGCCACACAUUCAAAGAGUGCGUAAUAGCUCACUGGUCGAGCGUCUUUGCGCGGAGAAUUUAACGGGGCUAAACCUGACACCGAAGCUUAGGCAAUACAGCAAUGUAUUGGGUAGGGGAGCGUUGUAUACGCGGUGAAACAGUAGCGCAAGCGGCUGUGGAGUGUAUAGAAGUGAGAAUGCCGGAAUGAGUAGCGCGAAUGCAGUGAGAAUCUGCAUGGCCGAAAGCCUCAGGUUUCUGGAGGAAGGUUCGUCCGCUCCAGGUUAGUCGGGAGCUAAGGUGAGGCCUAACGGCGUAGCCGAUGCACAGACGGUAGAGAUUCCGUCACCACCAAAAGAGUUAAACACAGGGACACAUUUGAAGUCUCGGAGCCGGGUGUUGGUUCCGGUAGCGAUCGAGGGAAGUUAGUACCGAAGUCCGGGAUGGAAGAUGGCGAGAAAAGCUGUGUGUAUUUCUGCGGUGCCCGUACCGCAAACCGACACAGGUAGGUAGGAAGAAGAUUCUAAGGCCAACGGGAGAAGGGUUGUUAAGGAACUCGGCAAAUUGACCCCGUAACUUCGGGAGAAGGGGUGCUCCAGAGAUGGAGCCGCAGAGAAUCGGCCCAAGCAACUGUUUACCAAAAACACAGGUUUGUGCUAAAUCGAAAGAUGACGUAUACGAGCUGACGCCUGCCCGGUGCUGGAAGGUUAAGAGGAGAUGUGCAAGCAUUGAAUCGAAGCCCCAGUGAACGGCGGCCGUAACUAUAACGGUCCUAAGGUAGCGAAAUUCCUUGUCAGGUAAG